rfam:Gorilla gorilla gorilla genomic chromosome, chr1, whole genome shotgun sequence
GCUGGGUGUGGUGGCUCAUGCCUGUAAUCCCAGCACUUUGGGAGGCUGAGGUGGGCGGAUCACCUGAGGUCAGGAGUUCAAGACCAGCCUGAUCAACAUGGUGAAAGUCCACCUCUA